rnacentral:rRNA from 1 species
GCAUAUCAAUAAGCGGAGGAAAAGAAACCAACAGGGAUUGCCCUAGUAACGGCGAGUGAAGCGGCAACAGCUCAAAUUUGAAAUCUGGCUCUUUUAGAGUCCGAGUUGUAAUUUGCAGAGGGCGCUUUGGCUUUGGCAGCGGUCCAAGUUCCUUGGAACAGGACGUCACAGAGGGUGAGAAUCCCGUACGUGGUCGCUGGCUAUUGCCGUGUAAAGCCCCUUCGACGAGUCGAGUUGUUUGGGAAUGCAGCUCUAAAUGGGAGGUACAUUUCUUCUAAAGCUAAAUAUUGGCCAGAGACCGAUAGCGCACAAGUAGAGUGAUCGAAAGAUGAAAAGCACUUUGGAAAGAGAGUCAAACAGCACGUGAAAUUGUUGAAAGGGAAGCGCUUGCAGCCAGACUUGCUUACAGUUGCUCAUCCGGGCUUUUGCCCGGUGCACUCUUCUGUAGGCAGGCCAGCAUCAGUUUGGGCGGUAGGAUAAAGGUCUCUGUCACGUACCUCUCUUCGGGGAGGCCUUAUAGGGGAGACGACAUACUACCAGCCUGGACUGAGGUCCGCGCAUCUGCUAGGAUGCUGGCGUAAUGGCUGUAAGCGGCCCGUCUUGAAACACGGACCAAGGAGUCUAACAUCUAUGCGAGUGUUUGGGUGUCAAGCCCGAGCGCGUAAUGAAAGUGAACGGAGGUAGGAACCCGCAAGGGUGCACUAUCGACCGAUCCUGAUGUCUUCGGAAGGAUUUGAGUAAGAGCAUGGCUGUUGGGACCCGAAAGAUGGUGAACUAUGCUUGAAUAGGGUGAAGCCAGAGGAAACUCUGGUGGAGGCUCGCAGCGGUUCUGACGUGCAAAUCGAUCGUCAAAUUUGGGCAUAGGGGCGAAAGACUAAUCGAACUAUCUAGUAGCUGGUUCCUGC